rnacentral:rRNA from 1 species
GAUGAACGCUGGCGGCGUGCUUAAUACAUGCAAGUCGAGCGAACAGACGCGGCGCUUGUUCCUUUCUCGUUAGCGGAGCACGUGUGAGUCACACGUGGAACCUCUCCUUAUCUGUCUGAGAACAUUUCGGGACUGCGGCGAAUAUCCCGGAUAAUAUACUGCACCGUAUGGUUGGAUAGAGAAAGACGGCUUUGCUGUCUCUACUAGAUGCAUCCGCGCUGCAUUAGCUAGUUGGUAAGGUAACGGCUUAUCAAGGCAACGAGGCGUAGCCGACCUGAGAGGGUGAUCGGCCACAUGGGAGCGUAGACGCGGUCCUGACUCCUACGGGAGGCAGCAGUAGCGAAUCGGCCGCAGUGGGCGAAAGCCUUACAGAGCGACGCCGCGUGAGUGAUAGAGAUCUUCGGUGCGUAAAACUCGGUUAUGAGUUAAGAACAGAUUUGUAAGUAACUAUACACGUCUUGACGGUACCUAAUCAGAAAGCCACGGCUAACUACGUG